AGAGACAAAGGAGUGGCAAGUUGACUGGUCCAUACAGAUUCCUCAUGCCACAUGUGAAGGUCGACAAAGGAACUGAUGGCUUGUAUUUCGGUGAUCUACUGUUGGCUUACCAUUUGUUUUUAUAGAGGGUCGUGCAACUUGAUUGAAGAUGGGAAGAUGAUGAGAACCGCCUGAUGAAGAAGCCGCUGAGAACCAGCGCCAGCGUCUCCCAGCCAGCGCCUGUGAAUGGAAUUGACGGCCAGCCAGUUUUAUUAGCGAUGGGGCCUGUAUAUAAGCAAUGAAAAAGGCGCGAGGGCGAGCAGCAAAACGCAGAACUAGCGCCAGAAAAGUUGUUGAGAAGCGAGCGGGCGGGAAAAAGUUGUUGCGAUCACGCAUAUAGCAAUCG